GGCACGAGAAUCGCUUGAACCUGGGAGCUGUGGAGGUUGCAGUGAGUCAAGAUUGUACCAGUGCACUCCAGCCUGAGUAACAGUGUGAGACUCUGUCUCAAAAAAAAAAAAAGUGAAAUAUAUGAAGCUGACUUCAACAGUAACAGAUUUCAGAAAAGGUCUAAAAACUGUGCUCCAGAAUUUAAUUACCACAAGGAGUUAGAAAAUCCACACUACCAUCCAGCUUCCUAAACAGAAGACUAAAUUUCCCGCUAUCCCUGUCUUUACCACUGUACUCACCCCCACCCUAGACUCUAGUGUAGAACAAGUAGUCAAGGAAAGAGAGAUUAAAAUGGUCACUCAUGCAGAUGAUACCCAAAUGCAAACAUGACACGCUUAGCAACUGGAAACCUGGUGGGAGGGGCGCAAGAGCACGCUGGCUUCCUAGAGACUGGUUGGCAAACGUAGAAUUAAGAGGAUGGUGAUAAGAAACCAGGGAUCCAUGGGGCAGCCUUCCCAGUUUGCUCAAACAUUCUGUUGCCAGGCUGUGACCAGGACUCAGAGACCAGUCCUAGGUUUACCAUCCAGACAACAAUGUGGGGGAGCAGAGAGAGCGUUAUAGAGAAAAGUUUAAAAAUAUAAGUAAAAUGAAAUAGUAUUCUUGGGUAUUAAAAAAAGAACUCUGAGGCUAAGAUUAUUGUUGGCCUCUGGACUUGCCCUUUCUGGUCUAUCUUCCACAUUGCUGUCCGAGUGAAUCAUUCCAACACUGUAUGGCACUCUCUUGCUUAAAAUCUUUCAGUGGCUCUCUACUGUGCUCAGGAUCAAGUGCAGGUUUAAAGUGCAGGUUUAUUACCUGGUCUGCCUAGCCCCAUCUUUUGUUAUGCUUUUGUAUGCUCUAUCUCGGCCUACUCAACAAUCUGCAGUGCCUCACCCUCUGGCCUCUAGGUCUUUGAGCACAGUGUCCCCACUGUCUGGUACACUGCUCUCUAUAUUGUGUUUGGCGUUCCCUUUUUCUCCAGGUUUAAGCUUGGCUAUCACUUUCUCCCAGAAGUCCUCCUGUGUGCUCCCAUAAUGCAUACAGCUCCUCCUAUGUGCUCUGUGCUUGGUCAUAGCACUUAUCACAUUAAUAAUAGUCUCCUUCAGAGUCUCAGCAAUUGGGGUCAGGCACUGGGUCUUACUGUGGUCCUAGCAUUUAGCAUAGGGCCUGCCACUCAGGAUCUCAGGUGGUUGUUGAAUGGUUAAAUUGUGGAUCUAUAAAGGCAGAACUGAGCAAAAUUACUGCCUUGGUGUGGUGGUGACAGUAACUGGAAAUCUCUGUCAAUGAUUCCCUACAUGUGGACUUGAUAUUUGAGUCCACAAAAAUUAUAAUGGAACUACUGUAUAUCUUUAAAAAACUUGUAACAAAAAUGGCUCAUUUAUCUAAGACAAAUCCAGACAGACUAAUAACAAAGGGUAAAUUGUUUGCCUUUGGCUGGAAGAUAAGCUCAGACAGUGCAGGGUUUUCUGCUGAUCAGCAGCUCAGAUUGCCUCAUGAUGCACCACAGGGAUUUCUGAGAUAAGAUUGACCAGAUCAUCUAGUAAUUUCUGAUUUACUACAAAACAUAUCACAAAUGAAAGGUGCCCAUGAAGUUUUGUGAGAAAACUUGGAACCUAGGCCCAGAUCAUUCAUUAUGGUGAUUAGUACUGCUUUUGUAAUUGCCUGAAUUAGCAUGUCUCUUAGAUGAGGGACCUGAGCCAAGAAAGACCUUAGAAGUCUGGGAGGUUUGAACCAGAGACCCAACGGUCUUGAGAAUUUGCCUAGGACCAAGACCAGAUUCUCAAGAUGCUUUCUGUGUGGUAGGAAAUAAGAUUAUGACUGUUUUAUGGAAACAAGGAGCUAAGUAAAGUUAGGCACAUCCAAGAAGGGCAAAACUGUUACUUUAGGAGAAGGGGCUUGGAAGCUCAGUUUUGUUGCUUUGGUUGGGAUUUUCAAGAUCGGAAACAUUUUUAUGCUGUAUAUAUUUUGGGGAUUUUUUUUCAAAAGUAAAAUAUUUCUUCUCAAAAGUAGAUUCUGUGCUUCAGAAUUUAAUUACCACAAGGAGUCAGAAAAUCAACACUACAAUCCAGCU
rnacentral:lncRNA from 10 species